rnacentral:rRNA from 1 species
CCUACGGGUGACAGCAGUAGGGAAUUUUCGGCAAUGGGGGGAACCCUGACCGAGCAACGCCGCGUGAACGAAGAAGUUAUUCGUAAUGUAAAGUUCUUUUAACAGGGAAGAAAGAGAAAUUUGACGGUACCUGAAGAAUAAGCUCCGGCUAACUACGUGCCAGCAGCCGCGGUAAUACGUAGGGAGCGAGCGUUAUCCGGAAUCAUUGGGCGAAAGGGGUGCGUAGAUGGCAUAGUAAGUCUUUUGUAAAAAUGCCGGGCUAAACCCAGUAGGGCAAAAGAUACGGGAAAGUUAGAGUACGAUAGAGGCAAGUGGAACUCCAGGUGUAGCGGUAAAAUGCUUAAAUAUAAGUAAGAACACCAGUGGCGAAGGCGGCUUGCUGGGUCGAUACUGACAUUGAGGCACGAAAGCGUGGGGAGCAAACAGGAUUAGAUACCCGGGUAGUC